rnacentral:rRNA from 1 species
AUGAGUGCUUUUUGUUGGAACUAUCGCGGAGCAGGUAAACCCGCGACAGUUCGAGAAAUUUGCGAGUUCGCGAUGAAGUUUACCCCUACCGUGCUAUGCAUUGUUGAAACACAAAUAAGUGGAGCACGUGUAGAAGCUUUAGCUGGAACAUUAGGCUUUGAUAAUUCAUAUGCAAUAAGCAGUCAAGGAAGAAGCGGAGGACUUGGUAUGUUUUGGAACAACAAUUGUAAUGUUGAAAUUUUGGGAGAUUCUGUGUACCACAUUGAUGCUAGGGUCACAGAAACAGGCCAAGAUCCUUGGCGCAUCACGUGUGUAUAUGGGGAGUCCCAGACACAUCUAAGGCACCAAACUUGGGACGUCCUUAAGGGAAUUAGCACUAUGAGUGAUUUACCAUGGCUUUGUUUUGGCGACUUUAAUGAAGUGCUCCGCCCGGAGGAGCAUGAUGGAAUAGCGGAUAGGAGUAAUGCACAGGUACAAGCUUUCCGUGAUGCAGUUGAUGUGUGCAUGCUCAUGGAUCUUGGCUACCAGGGAGGCCCUGGACUUUUGAGAAGCGGGUUACAGGAGGGAGCUUCUGCAGGGUCCGUCUUGACAAGGCCUUGGCUUCGGCUAGUUGGACAGCUCAAUAUCCACUAG